rnacentral:rRNA from 1 species
GGAGUUUGGGCCGUGUCUCAGUCCCAAUGUGGCCGUCCGCCCUCUCAGGCCGGCUACAGAUCGUCGCUUUGGUAGGCCGUUACCCUGCCAACUGGCUAAUCUGACGCGGGCCCAUCUCAUACCACCGGAGUUUUUCACACUGUAUCAUGCGAUACCGUGCGCUUAUGCGGUAUUAACAGUCGUUUCCAGCUGUUAUCCCCCAGUAUGAGGCAGGUUGCCCACGCGUUACUCACCCGUCCGCCACUAAGAAUUUACAAGAAUCUGCCGAAGCUUCAUCAGCGUAAAUUCUCCGUUCGACUUGCAUGUGUUAGGCACGCCGCCAGCGUUCAUC